rnacentral:rRNA from 1 species
UGUUGGAGGUCCUUAGGGCCUUGGUUUUUAAGGCCGCCCGGGGAAAACUGCGAGGAACCCUUUUUCAAAAAAAAAUUUUUUAAUAAAAAAAAAAAGCCCCCCCCCCCUAAACGGAGAAGGGUCAAGGUGCCCGGCAAAUUUUUCCCCUUUUUGACCCAGCGUUCAACCCAAGGCCGGCAAGUUUUUUUUAACGAGAAGAACCUUACCAGGGCUUGACAUCCCACUAACGAAGUAGAGAUGCUUUAGGUUCCCUUCGGGGAAAGUGGAGACAGGUGGUGCAUGGUUGUCGUCAGCUCGUGUCGUGGGAUGUUGGGUUAAGUCCCGCAACCCCCGCAACCCCUAUUGUUAGUUGCUAAGCAAGGGCACUCUAGGGAGACUGCCGUUGACAAAACGGAGGAAGGCGGGGAGGACGUCAAAUCAUCAUGCCCCUUAUGUCUUGGGCUACACACGUAAUACAAUGGUGGUAAACAAAGGGAAGCAAACCCGCGAGGUGGACCAAAUCCACAAAAGCUAUCUCAGUUCGGAUUGCAGGCUGCAACUCGCCUGCAUGAAGUCGGAAUUGCUAGUAAUCGCGGAUCA